GACUGAAGGCAACGGCUGCCGUUUCUAGAGUCGCAGUGGGGCGUCGCUUCCCUCUUUUUCAAACCACCUCUGGGUAUCAUCCUAAAUCAAGAUUUCUCGCCCCCUCCCCUCCACACACACUUUACUUUCUCAGGAAAAUCGGAGCCGGGGGAAAGGGCUCUGGGAGAAGUGCCGGAGAAUUACUUUCCAGGCGGCAGCUGUGUGGGAGGAUUUUGGAUUCUGAACCAGGCGAAGCCUCGCAGGCGGAUCCUCUCCGUCCUUUGCAUAGCCCCAGCCGUGUCGCGCACAAUGCUCCAAGUAGCACCGCAAGGCGGCUAUGCGCGCCGACCUUCAGAAGGGGCAGACACAUGGACUUCCCCAGGGCAGUAAAAGGAAACGGGAGUCUGUUGGCCCCGGGAAGACGAAGUCGAGUGAUUGAAGUUUCAGCGGUGGUGGGCUCCAGUAGAUGCCUGGCGCAUAGGACACGUAGGGAGCGCUUCCCCGUCUGCAGCAGUAGCAGCAUGGAGUGGGAAUUCAACUUGCUGGUCUACCUGGCGCUGUUCUUCUUCUUGCUCUUCCUGCUCUUCCUCCUGCUCUUCGGAGUCAUCAAGCAGCUGAAGAACUCCGUGGCCAGCACUGGCGCUCUGCAGCCCGGCCGCCACUCUCUGCGGGAGCCUUGGGGCUUUUGCCGCGAGCAAACGUUGUGAAGGAGCCCGGCAGGGUAAGAAGGGGAAGCCGCCUCUAGAGGGCGCCCCGGGAAUUCUCGGGCUGAACAACAACGCGGAGCGGUCACCUAAUUCUCCGCUUGGAGGACUACAGAGAUGGACCUGCUGUCCCACUGGUAAUGGAACAAAACGCCGUCCCUGUGAAAAAAUGAGACUGUGUACUUUGGAAACAGGCAAUCCGGUCAAAAAGGCAGCUGUGCUGGGAGAUUAGACAAGUAGCCUAUAAUGGUGCAUGCUUCACAUCGAAGCUGAUUGUGUUUUCAUGAAGAUCUAUAAUAUGUUUGAAAAUGCUGGUUGUGUCCUUUUUCAAAGUCUGUUUUUUCUCCCAGUUGCUCCUAGCAAGCCUGGGCCACCCAUAAAUAGCUUUUCUCCUUGGGAAUGUGUCCAUGACAAUGGUAGAAUGGCUGGCUUCUCUUUAGGAUGCAACAUAAGCAGGAAUGGAGAUUCAUACAGCAGUAACCUGUUUCACUUGAUAUUCAUUCAUCCUUCCUGCUUCCAAUUUGUUUCUUUGUUUUGCAAAUGAAAUUUGUGCUCUCUUGUGAUUUAUGUAUAUGUCUUUCUGGGGGAAAGAAUGACUUGGAACGAAAACAGCACUUGUAACAAGAUUAAAGAGCUCUGACCUUCACUACUGAUGAUGAAAAGAAAAGAAAUUAUUUUUAAAAACUUUAUUCAGAAAGAUCCAUUUUACUGGAGCAUCAAUUGAUGUGGAACUUAUGUUUUCCAGAAAUGUUUAAACUGCAGACCUGUCAUGUCCUUUAUACACAACUCUGAAUGUAAUUGAAUAUUGUUAAAAAGCCACUUCCUAGGGAUCCUGCACAUUCUGGAUAAUGUGACAUGCAAUCCUAAGCAGUAUCACACAAUUCUAAGUCAAUUGAAGUCUUUGGACGUAGAAGGGUGUAGCUCUACUUAGGAAUACAUUGCAGGACACCAUAAAUUAAAUGAUGGGGUUAUUAAUCUGUAAGAAACAGAAAAGAAAUAAAAAUUAAUAUGUAAGUUAUUCCUACAAUGAUGACUUUUGUGUUCCUAUAAAGGAAAGGAAUUGUAAAUUAAUAUAUAGUCAAGGUUUAGGUCUGUCAAAACGGUUGAAGGAUGCAAUUUUCCUCUCUUUAAAUUCAACAGGAAAGUAUAUUCUCUCUGUGAUGUUUGAGAUCAAUUUCUGUGCUGAUGAUACAGAUUUAAUUCAAGGCCUGUGAAUAAUAAUAAAAGGUGCCUCUUGUAUACAGAAGUGAAUAAAAAUCCUAACUGAUAUUAAGAAA